GCUUGUGUUCUUUGGCUGUAUAGAUGGGCUGUAUGCAUGGGCCCUUCUGUAGCAAGGACAUGGAAACUUGAACAGACAUGAGUCUGCGAGUGCUCUUCCGCGGGUGGAUGAGUUUCGAGACCCCACGGACGAUGGGGUCCCCAGAAUUAGAACUUUGUUCCCAGGUCGUCGAAGAGCUUUUUGAAGUCGUCAGUAGAGCAUUGAAAUUAUGGUGGAAUAGAUGCACGCAAUGGCUAUUUUACCAAGGUUUUGGAUUUAAUUCAAGUACCGCCAUUUAAGACAAGACAAUAGUUUGAAGUACGACCUAGAGCAAGUGUUGGUUGGGCUACGUUAAUAAUUGUGAUAAUUUUGAGACAAGGCGUAUCAUGGACACCAUCAUUUGGAAUGGAAUGCCAAUCUGAGAAACUAGGAUUGAUAGUCUUUCCUUGGAUUGGUCAUUGAACAUUUGCUGGGAUGUGGCAUUUUUGCGUGGACUUGCAAUAUGCUAAAAAUAAAAAAACGAUAAAACCUUAAUAAGUGGCUGUGUGGUUUUCGCAACAGUUAACACGUUAAACAUCCCUUACACAUCCAAGCCUUGUUUCAGACCACAUCUAAUAUGGGCAUAUGGGAAUAUUUUGGCAACAAUUUUUGGUGUUUUUAAAUGCUUGGCACCGAUAUAUAUCAACGUUUUUUAAGGGACUUCAACUUGAAACUCGUUGCCGACAGUGUUUUAAUAUCGUGGACUUCCUUGCUAUUAGCUGACGGUAACAAUUCAACAACUACUAGGUUGGCGAACUUGGUUUUGUGGAAGCGGCUUCUAGGUCUAGGUCUAUUAACAAAUUGCACCGCCAUUCAAGGGAGCAUUGCUGUUGGUAUUAUGGCUGAUAGUUUCUUUCAAACUCUGACAACGAAGAAUUAAGUGCCUGACUAAUUUUCUGUAGUUUUCGUACCUCAGAGGCGCUGAUGUUAAACUCAUCAUCGGAGUCCGAAGGACCAGGCAUAAUACACUGGUCCGAAAAUUAAGAAAACAAAUUUGGCUAACGACGCUCUCACUGACUGUAUCGAGUGCCAUCUCUCUCCUAAGAAUAUAAAGUGAAGUUAAUGUGCCUAAUCAUAGAGAGGAAUUGGCGAUAUUUUAAACAAAUUAAUUGAUUUUAAAUUUCUAGCCGAUUGAUAAGCCGUCGGUCGCUCUCAGACGGCGAGCACAUAUGUAAGGCGCAACGGAACAUGCAAAGCAAAUUAUGUUGGCAAAAAAGAGACGGGGACGAGCAAAAGGCGAGCAAAAUACCAAUAAGAGAACAAUAAGAGUCACGAUCUUUUUCGUGACUUUUAUUGGGUGCCAAUUUCUAAGCAAAUUGUAAUUAUUUUUGAAUUAAAUUCUAUAUGGAUUCAUUUUAUAAGAAACAUUUAUGCUAAAAGAUCAACCCCCCACCAUGUGGAUCAGGAAGUCUUUUUUUAAAUAAAAUUUAUUGGGAAACUAGAAGGUUAGUUUAUAUACAAUUAUACAUUAAGUGUUAUAUUUAUAAAUUUAAUUAAUUUUCUUAAGGUGGAAAAAAUUUACAUUUUUUAAAAGUACAAAGUAACGAAAAUUCUUAUUGCGAACCAAAUUUAUUUUUCCUUUUUUGUUAUAUUUUAAUCCUGUUAGAUAUAGAAUUAACCAACCUGUGCUGUGAUCUGAUCAAAACGUACUAAGUGUAUACUAAAUAAGAUUAAAUGUAAGUUAAAAAUAUUUUUUAACGUAUUAUAUUUUGCUACACGCCUUCUCAUGUUUUUUGUUU